rnacentral:rRNA from 1 species
AGUGAACGCUGGCGGCGUGCUUAACACAUGCAAGUCGAACGAGAACGGAAUAUAGCUUGCUAUAUUUGUCAGCUAAGUGGCGCACGGGUGAGUAAUGUAUAGAUAACCUGCCCUUAAGAAAGGAAUAACAGUUGGAAACGACUGCUAAUGCCCUAUAUGCCUUUAAUACAUAAGUAUGCAAGGGAAACGCUUUAGUGCUUAAGGAUGGGUCUGUAUGGUAUCAGCUUGUUGGUGAGGUAAUGGCUCACCAAGGCUAUGACGCCUAACUGGUUUGAGAGGAUGAUCAGUCACACUCGAACUGAGACACAGUCCAGACUCCUACGGGAGGCAGCAGUGGGGAAUAUUGCACAAUGGCCGAAAGUCUGAUGCAGCAACGCCGCGUGGAGGAUGACACAUUUCGGUGCGUAAACUCCUUUUAUAUAGGAAGAUAAUGACGGUACUAUAUGAAUAAGCACCGGCUAACUCCGUGCCAGCAGCCGCCGUAA